AGUGAACGCUGGCGGUAGGCCUAACACAUGCAAGUCGAACGGCAGCACAGUAAGAGCUUGCUCUUACGGGUGGCGAGUGGCGGACGGGUGAGGAAUACAUCGGAAUCUACUUUUUCGUGGGGGAUAACGUAGGGAAACUUACGCUAAUACCGCAUACGACCUACGGGUGAAAGCAGGGGAUCUUCGGACCUUGCGCGAUUGAAUGAGCCGAUGUCGGAUUAGCUAGUUGGCGGGGUAAAGGCCCACCAAGGCGACGAUCCGUAGCUGGUCUGAGAGGAUGAUCAGCCACACUGGAACUGAGACACGGUCCAGACUCCUACGGGAGGCAGCAGUGGGGAAUAUUGGACAAUGGGCGCAAGCCUGAUCCAGCCAUACCGCAUGGGUGAAGAAGGCCUUCGGGUUGUAAAGCCCUUUUGUUGGGAAAGAAAAGCAGCAGGUUAAUACCCCGCUGUUCUGACGGUACCCAAAGAGUAAGCACCGGCUAACUUCGUG
rnacentral:rRNA from 1 species